rnacentral:rRNA from 1 species
UACGGAGGGUGCGAGCGUUGUUCGGAAUCACUGGGCGUAAAGGGCGUGUAGGCGGUCUGUUAAGUCUGAUGUGAAAGCCCUGGGCUCAACCUGGGAAUGGCAUUGGAUACUGGCGGGCUAGAGUGCGGUAGAGGAUGGCGGAAUUCCCGGUGUAGCAGUGAAAUGCGUAGAGAUCGGGAGGAACAUCCGUGGCGAAGGCGGCCAUCUGGACCAGCACUGACACUGAGGCACGAAAGCGUGGGGAGCAAACAGG